CAGACCGUCGUGAGACAGGUCGGUCCCUAUCUGCUGUGGGCGUUCGAAAUUUGCGGAGGUAUCUCUUUAGUACGAAAGGACUUAGAGGUAGGCGGCUCUGGCGUUCCAGUUGUCAAGCCCUUGGCACGGCUGGGUAACUAACCGCCGACAGGAUAAACGCUGAAAGCAUAUAAGCGUGAAGCCUUCUCCCAGAUCAGAUUUCGUAGAAUUUAUUCGGAAGUCCCCAAGGAGACGACUUGGUAGAUAGGCCGAACGUGUUCGCGCAGUAAUGCGUUUAGCGAAUCGGUACUAACGGACGAACUCUUAUUCGC
rnacentral:rRNA from 1 species